rnacentral:lncRNA from 1 species
GCCACUGACUGCUCUGACCUUGGGUCGCGGCCCGGUGGGGCCCGAGCUCCGAGCUUGGAGCUCCGAGGUGCUACCCCCGUCGCCGCAGCCCCGCCAGGGAGGGUGCUGGCCGGCCUGGGGCGGGAGGCGGGGGCGUCCUCGGCCCGAGCGCUGCAGACGCCGUCCGCGAGCUGGGGCAGGGCGGCCCGGCUCUGCUCGCCACCGGGCCUCGCGGUGUCGGGGCGAGAGCGAGCGUCCGCCGUGCGCCCGACAUUCCGCGGAAAGAAUGGAAGAGCGCGAAGCGCGCGCGGCUGGGGACUGCGACCCCGCGCCACGGCUCCGCCCCUGCCCGACCCCGGGCCGGCCGCGGAGGGCUCGGACCGCGCGCGUCCCUCCCGGUGGCUCCGGCGGGAGCGCACGCAGCGGCCCGGGGCGCACCGCCAGCCGCGACGGAGGGCCCGGCCCGCCGCCGUAGGGGCGCCCGAGCGCAGCGGCGGGGACCGGCGGGAGGGCGCGCUCCACGCGCGUUCCGCUUCCGUGGGCCGCGCCGCGACCUACCUCGUGCCCACGCAGCCAUCUUGCGGCCGCUCCUCGCUCUCAAAAUGGCCUCCCGGCCCCGCGGCGCCCUGCCCGCCUCCCCGCCUCCCCGCCGGGCCCGCGGUCCGGGGUCCGGGGUCCGGGCUGCGCGCCCCCCGCGCCCGCGCCCGCGCCCGCGCUCCGUGGCCGGCGGCCCCGCGGGUCCCGAAGGCUGCGGGGCCCAGGCGGCGUCCCGGCGCCCCGGGCUCCCCGCAGCCGCGAGAGGCCUCCGCGCCACCCCGGGCGCCGGGCGCCGGGCUCGGGUUCCCGCGGACACCGACGGGGAGAGCCCCGGCGUCCGGGAGGCCGCCCCGCGCCCGUGCUCCGCCGGCCUGGACCGCAGAGCACAGCGUGCCCGUGGACGUGUGUGGUCAACGCCAGUCCCCGGCGUGGGCGUGUCGCGGAGGGACCCGGGGAGGACGGCACCGGCUCCCGCCCGGGAAGCAGUGGGGCUGCCUUCCCGGUGACCCGGGUAAAGACGCGCGCGCUCCGCCGACCUAA